CCUACGGGAGGCAGCAGUGGGGAAUCUUGCGCAAUGCGCGAAAGCGUGACGCAGCAACGCCGCGUGAGGCAAGAAGGCCUUCGGGUUGUAAACCUCUUUCAGUUGGGACGAAGCCACGGUCGGUUAAUACCUGUAUGUGGUGACGGUACCUUCACAACAAGCCCCGGCUAACUACGUGCCAGCAGCCGCGGUAAU
rnacentral:rRNA from 1 species